rnacentral:rRNA from 1 species
UGGGGAAUAUUGCACAAUGGGCGAAAGCCUGAUGCAGCAACGCCGCGUGAGUGAUGAAGGUUUUCGGAUCGUAAAGCUCUGUCUUCUGGGAAGAUAAUGACGGUACCAGAGGAGGAAGCCACGGCUAACUACGUGCCAGCAGCCGCGGUAAUACGUAGGUGGCGAGCGUUGUCCGGAUUUACUGGGCGUAAAGGGUGCGUAGGCGGAUGUUUAAGUGAGAUGUGAAAUACCCGGGCUUAACCCGGGGGCUGC